UGUACACACCGCCCGUCACACCAUGGGAGUGGGUUGCAAAAGAAGUAGGUAGCUUAACCUUCGGGAGGGCGCUUACCACUUUGUGAUUCAUGACUGGGGUGAAGUCGUAACAAGGUAAUCGUAGGGGAACCUGCGGUUGGAUCACCUCCUUACCUUAAAGAAGC
rnacentral:rRNA from 1 species